rnacentral:rRNA from 1 species
CCUACGGGGGGCUGCAGUGGGGAAUAUUGGACAAUGGGGGCAACCCUGAACCAGCCAUGCCGCGUGUGUGAAGAAGGCCCUCGGGUUGUAAAGCACUUUCAGUGAGGAAGAACGCCUGGUGGUUAAUACCCAUCAGGAAAGACAUCACUCACAGAAGAAGCACCGGCUAACUCCGUGCCAGCAGCCGCGGUAAUACGGAGGGUGCGAGCGUUAAUCGGAAUUACUGGGCGUAAAGCGCGCGUAGGUGGCUUGAUAAGCCGGUUGUGAAAGCCCCGGGCUCAACCUGGGAACGGCAUCCGGAACUGUCAAGCUAGAGUGCAGGAGAGGAAGGUUGAAUUCCCGGUGUAGCGGUGAAAUGCGUAGAGAUCGGGAGGAAUACCAGUGGCGAAGGCGGCCUUCUGGACUGACACUGACACUGAGGUGCGAAAGCGUGGGUAGCAAACAGGAUUAGAUACCCGUGUAGUC